GGAUGUGCUCUGGCUGCGAUAUCUGUCACUCCACUGAUUGCCAGAGUUGAUUUGAUCUGGCUGGCUAGGCGGGUAUCCCCUUCCUCCCUCACCACUCCAUGUGCGUCCCUCCCAAAGCUGCGUGCUCUGUCAAAGAGGACGGUCUUCCUCAAAUAGAGACUGACUGGUCUUCCGUGGAGGGUAUAGGAGUAGCUGCGUUCCCCUGCUAGAACCUCCAAACAAGCUCUCAAGGUCCGAAUAAAGAGAAUGCAUCUUAUAUGGGCAACACAAAAGCUGCUCUUACUUU
rnacentral:snRNA from 1 species